GGGUUGUCGUGAAGAGAUGAACAGGAUGCC
rnacentral:piRNA from 1 species